UCUAGUGACAGAGUGAGGGACGGUGUGACUAGUGACAGAGAGAGGGAGGGGGUGACUAGUGACAGAGUGAGGGAGGUUGUGAUUAGUGACAGAGGGAAGGAUGAGGUGACUAGUGACAGUCACCACCUCCUUCACUCUGUCACUAGUCACCCCCUUCCUCACUCUGUCAUUGUGUCACCCCCUUUCUCACUCUUUCACUAGUCAUCCCCUUCCUUACUGUCACUAGUCACCCCCUGCCUCUAUCUGUCACUAGUCCCACCCUCCCUCACUCUGUCACUAGAGUG
rnacentral:sRNA from 1 species